ACGAAGGGGGCUAGCGUUGUUCGGAAUUACUGGGCGUAAAGCGCGCGUAGGCGGUGUCCCAUGUCAGAGGUGAAAUCCCGGAGCUCAACUUCGGAAUUGCCUUUGAAACGGGGACGCUUGAGUCCGAGAGAGGAUGGCGGAAUUCCUAGUGUAGAGGUGAAAUUCGUAGAUAUUAGGAAGAACACCGGUGGCGAAGGCGGCCAUCUGGCUCGGUACUGACGCUCAGGUGCGAAAGCGUGGGGAGCAAACAGG
rnacentral:rRNA from 1 species